rnacentral:misc_RNA from 1 species
GAACGCACAUUGCACCCUCUGGUAUUCCGGGGGGUAUGCCUGUUCGAGCGUCAUUUCAACCCUCAAGCCCAGCUUGGUAUUGGGUGUCACCUGGCAAUGGUGUACCUCAAAAUCAGUGGCGGUGCCAUCUGGCUUCAAGCGUAGUAAAACAAUCGCUUUGGAGGUUUGGAUGUGUCCUUGCCAUCAACUCCUAAUUUAUCAAAGGUUGACCUCGGAUCAGGUAGGGAUACCCGCUGAACUUAAG